GGUUGUAGUUCCUCCGCCGGAGCGGGACCUCCGGUGCCCCGGGCCAGGGAUGUGAGAAAGAAGCGAGCCCUCGAGUUUCCUCGGGGCAUGUGGGAAGGUUUUUUUCAGGAUCCAGGCAGAACCUUACAGAGCUGGGAGUUUUUUAACUUUCCAUUCCUGGCAGUGACGCCAGGAGCUUUAAGUGAUGGAAAUAUGCGAGUCAAUCAGUGGAUGGUGGGCUCUCCCAAACAAAAUGAUAGACAGGUUGUGGUCAUGUGUUGAACACACAGUCUUUUCUCCUUGUUAAUUUAGGAACAAAGGAACAGUAAAUGGAGUAACUUGGCUAGAAUAUGGCAGUAACUACAAGGCAUGUUCUGCUCUGGCACGAAGGUAACCACCACUCAUACCUCUCCAGCCCUGUGAAUACGUCAAUUGACUAAGCAGAUUCCUUGAGGAUAAAGUAGGCUCCUGGGGACCUUGCUUGUUGGGCUACUUGCUUUGUGGAUGUUAAACAGAUAAUUCUCAUGAGUUUGAGUGACGUCUGAUCUACCAGUAUUCCCCCUACUCUGAUUAGAAAUGACUUGACCAUGCCAAAAAGAAUAAAAGACAGCUCUGAUACAAAUGUAGCCAUUUUAAUGUGACUCCCUCUAGAUCCAAGGAAGCCAGUACUUACGAACAUUUUCAGAGUCAAUACUUACUGUACUGUACCAUAGUCGAGGAAAAGGGUAUUUUUCCUAACUCUCCUGGAGUAGCACAUCCCAAGAUCUCAACUUUCCAAAACCUGGAUCAACUAUAUUUCUUUUCUUUCUCCAGCCCCAAUACCUACUUCUUCAGCAGUGUUCCCUAUUUCAGUUAAUUUCUAUUCUUCCAGCAGGUCAGACUAAACACUAGAGUCAUCUUUGACUCCUCUGUUUCCCAUUCCAUAUUGGGCCACCCUCCCCCACAAAUUCAUGUUGAAGCCCAACCCUUAGUGUGACUAUAUGUGGAGACAGGGCUUUUAGGAGUUAAGUAAGGUUAAAUGAGGUCAUAAGAGUGGUGUUUUGAUCCAUUAGGAUUGGAUUGGUGGCUUUACAAGAAAAUAUCUCUUUCUCUGUCCAUGCACCAAGGAAAGGCUACAUCUCUUUCUCUGUCCGUGCACCAGGGAAAGGUUUUGAUCCAUUAGGAUUGGUGGCCUCAUAAGAAAAGAUCUCUUUCUCUUUCCAUACACCAAGGAAAGGCUAUAUGAAGACAGAGCAAGAAGGUAGUUAUCUACAAGCCAGGAAGAGAGUCCUCACCAAAACACAACCAUGCUGGUACCCUGAUCUUCAACUUCCAGUCUUGAGCUGUUGAGAAAAUAAACUUUUAUUGUUUAAGCCACCUAGUCUAUGGUAUUUUGUUAUGGCAGCCUGAGCAGACUAAGAUACUUUUUAUUACCAAAAUCCUUUUGGAUCUACCUUCAAAACAUAUUCAUAUUACAACCAGUCUCCCCAAAUUCUGUUAGUACCUUAACUCAAGUUACUAUCAUCUGUCACUUGAAAUAGAGCAAUAGCCUCCUAACUAUAUACGGAUGUCAAUCCUCCUCAUUGAGAUGCAGUCCAUUUUCUCCCUGAAACUGAGCAGGCCUUUUGACUUGCUUUGACCAAUAGAAUUUGAAGAAAUGAUGCUGAGCCAGUUCCAGGCCUACCCCUUAAGGAGACUUGACACUUUCUACUUUAGCUCUCUUGGAACUUUGAGCCACCACGUGAGGAGUCUGAUUACCCAUUCGCAAGUGAUGCCUAAACAGCCCCUGUUCCUUCCAGACAACCCACCUGAGGCACCAGACACAUGAGUGAAGCCAUCUUGGACAUCCCAGUCACAGCCAAACUCACUCCUGAGUGCAUCUGCAUGAUGAACCCAGCAAUCCCCACCAUGGAGCAAAGGAUCCAUCCAGUCAACCCAAAGAAUCGUGAAAAAUAAUAAAUUGUUGUUUUAAAGUUCUUCAGUUUGGGAAUAGCUUGUUAUGCAACAAUACAUAAUUAAUACACUGGUCUCCCACUUUCAAGUUUGAUUAACUUUCAGCUAUUUUUCACAUAGCAGGCAGAGUGAUUCCAUUAAAACAUAUAUCAGAUAAUGUCACUGCACUAAGUAAACUCUACAAGGACUCUCAUCUCCCUCAGAGUAAAGGUCACAGUUGUUACAAGGCCCUACGUAAUGUGGCCCUCACCACCACUCCAUUACCUUUUUCUUAUCUACUAUUUGCUAACUUUGCUUUGUCCUCUUUUCUGUUCUGAAACAGGCUAGGCAUGGUCCUGCCUCAAGGCCUUUGCACCACCUACUCUGUCUGCUUGGAUUGUUCUUCCCACAGAUUUCUUGCUCCCUUCUUCCUUCAUGAAGAAAUGUCAUGAAAUGUCCUUCCUUCAUGAAAUGUCACCUUCUCAUUUGAGGCCUUCUGUAGUACCCCAAAGAAUGGUCCCCAAAGAUGUCCACAUCCUUAUGCCCAGAACCUGUGAAUGUGUUAUCUUAAUGGCAAAAGUGACUUUGCAAAUGUGAUUAUAUUUAAGGAUCUUAAGGAGGAGAUUAUCCUGGAUUAUCCAGGAGGGCCCAAUGUAAUCACAAGGGCCCUUAUAAGUGAAAGGGGGAGGCAACAGAGAGAAGGAGAUGUCAUAAUGAAAACAGAUCCAAGUGAUGAGAUUGCUGGCUGGGGUGGAGGUGGAGGGGGGUACAAUCCAAGGAAUGCAAGAAGCCUCUAAAAGCUAGGAAAUGUCAGGACACAAAUUCUCCCCUAGAACCUGAGGAAGAAACCCAGGUUUAUGGACACUGAUUUUAACCCAAUAAGUCCCUUUUCUGACUGCUGACCUCCAAAACUGUAAGAUAAUAAAUUUGUGUUAUUUUAAGCCAACUGAGUUUGAGAUAAUUUAGUUAUGGCAGCAAUAGGAAACUAGCACACCUUCCUAGCCAUCCUAUCUAAAAUGGCAACCCAUGUCCUUCCUGGCACUUCCUAUCUCCCUUCCAUGUUUUUUUUAAAUCAUAUAUACAAUAUAUUUUACUGUUUUACCUAUUGUCUUUUCCACCAGAAAGUAAACUCCACGUAAAUAAGGAUUGUCUGUUUUAUUCUUUGCAGUAUCUCCACUGCCUAGGAUAGCAUCUGCACAUACUGCACACUCAGUACACAUUUGUCGAAUGAGGUCAGGCGCGGUGGUUCACACCUGUAAUCCCAGCACUUUGGGAGGCCAAGGCGGGUGGAUCACCUUAGGUUAGGAGUUCGAGACCAGCCUGGCCAACAUGGUGAAACCAUGUCUCUACUAAAAAUACAAAAAGUAGUUGGGCAUGGUGGCAUGUGCCUGUAAUCCCAGCUACUUGGGAGGCUGUGGCAGGAGAGUCACUUGAAUCUGGGAGGUGGAGGUUGCAGUGAGCCAAGAUUGUGCCACUCCACUCCAGCCUGGGCAACAGAGUAAGACUCUGGCUCAAAAAAAAAAAAAAAGAAAGAAAGAAAAAAAUACAUAUUUGUUGAAUGAACAAGUGAAUGAACAAAUGUUAUGCAAAUAUAUUAUCCCUAUCUGUAGCUUGCCUUUUAAUUUUGUUAUAGUAACUUUGGUUGAAAGGAAGUUCUAAAAUCUUUAAUAUAAUCAAAUGUAUCAAUCUUUUCAACUUGUAUAUUUUAUGCCUUGUUUAAUCAACUCUGUCUUAUAUCAAAAUUAUAAAAGUAUUACCCUGUAUUUUCUUAUAAAAGUUUUGAAUCUUUUCUUUUUCCACUUAGAUCAUUAAUCAACUUGGAAUUGGUGUUACAUAGUGGUAAAUGAUUGUCCCAGGACCACAUAUUGAAUAUUUUAUCAUUUCUCCACUGAUUUGUAACAACACAGUGGUUAUAUAUCCUGUUUAUACAUGGGUCUGUCUCUAGGUUUCCGGUUCUGUUCCAGUGGUCUGUUUGCUUACCCUUCUACUAAUAGCACAUUGGCCUAAUUACUAUAACUUUAUAAUGUGGCUCAAUCUCUGGAAAACCACAUACCUCUCCCCUCCUCUUUCUACAAUAUUCUUAUAUUUUGCAACUGGCCUUUACUGUUUUGUAUUAUUUUUAACAAUACCUUAUAUACCCACAUAUAUUAGAUGCUCUUAGCAUCACUAUUUAUAGCAUCUAAAAAUUGGAAAUUAUUUAAAUGUCCACCAAUACAUUAGUUAAAUAAAUUAGGUUAUACUCACAUAGUGGAAUACGAUACUGGCUUUCAAAAGAAUGAGGUAAAUUUACAUAUCUACAUUAAAAGGUAUUCAAGAUAUCAGAAAAAAGGGCAAGUUGCAAAACAAUAUUUAGAGUAAGAACCUAUUCAUGAAUUUUUUUAAUGUAAUUUGUGUUACAUGUAGAAAAAAAUAUGGGCAAGAAUACAUCAAAAUGUUAACAGUGGUUAUAUCUGAGGAUCAGGAAUAGGAAGAACAUUCGCUUUCUAAGGUAUGUAUUCCUAUAAUUCAUGGAUAUGACAAUAACCAAGUAUUACUUUUACAAUAGAAUAUAUAGGUUUUAACUUUGGUUAAAGCAAAUAUAUCUUUUUUUUUUUUUUUUUUGAGAUG
rnacentral:lncRNA from 10 species